rnacentral:lncRNA from 1 species
CGAGUACUUGUUCCAAGAAAUUACAAGUGACGGACGUUCGUCCAGUGAUAAUAAAUGACGGACAUUCGUCCUAGUAGAAACAAAUUACGAGUAUAUGCCCUAAUAACAACGAAACAAGAGAAAAACAACUCAAUCGUUUAUCCCGAACACCAGACUGGAAGUUCGGGGGGCAACUGUUCCUAAACCGCACUGAGGCCCAAUUUUCAAUAGUUAUUAGUUUUUAGCCAAUUCGCCAUAGUUAUUGGUUUUUAGUCCAUUCUAAUGCAAACCAAACUCAAGGCACAUCGUACCCCCAAAAUCGUCUGACGUGCUGAAUUUUAGCCCAUCCAUGAAGAUCGUUGACCAUCCAUUAAUCGGCUACCUGCAUUUCACGUUUGGUACCAGAAUAAUUGUCGCCAUGUCACUAGUAUCGGGGGAAUCCCUAUAAAAAAGGUUCUUGUACCAAAAAAAAUACAUAUAAGAUAAAGAAUUUAACAAGAACGAUGAUUAUUAAAGUACAUAUAAGAUAUGAUUGUAAUUUAAAAAAAAUAUAUAUAUAAGAUGAGCUC